AGCCGGUGAUGACAAAUCAAAUAACUUUUCUGACACCUACUAUGACAGCUGAACUGCAGCUUGUGAUUAUACUUUACACCCUGAGGCUU